rnacentral:tRNA from 133 species
GGGGCCAUAGCUCAGCUGGGAGAGCGCAACACUGGCAGUGUUGAGGUCGGCGGUUCGAUCCCGCCUGGCUCCACCA